rnacentral:tRNA from 3 species
GGGUAUCGCCAAGCGGUAAGGCACCGGAUUCUGAUUCCGGCAUUCCGAGGUUCGAAUCCUCGUACCC